UUCUGACCUAUACAGUCAUACCUUAUCUUCAUGCUCUUCUUUAAGAACACUCAAGUGAUCUUGCCAACAGCUGGUAUAUAUCUUUUAAGAGUUUUCUUAAAUGCUGUUGGCACUGACUACUGAGAGUAUUAUUCUGUUAAACUAUAGAAGGUGUUAUUAGCUCACAGAACGAUCAAUCACCAUUACUGACACUUCUGGCCCUUCAUUUCAUGGCUUUUUCCCCAC
rnacentral:lncRNA from 1 species